CCUACGGUGAGCAGCAGUGGGGAAUAUUGGACAAUGGGGGGAACCCUGAUCCAGCGACGCCGCGUGAGUGAAGAAGUAUUUCGGUAUGUAAAGCUCUAUCAGCAGGGAAGAAAGAAAUGACGGUACCUGACUAAGAAGCCCCGGCUAACUACGUGCCAGCAGCCGCGGUAAUACGUAGGGGGCAAGCGUUAUCCGGAUUUACUGGGUGUAAAGGGAGCGUAGACGGCGAUGCAAGUCUGAAGUGAAAGGCGGGGGCCCAACCCCCGGACUGCUUUGGAAACUGUAUGGCUGGAGUGCAGGAGAGGUAAGUGGAAUUCCUAGUGUAGCGGUGAAAUGCGUAGAUAUUAGGAGGAACACCAGUGGCGAAGGCGGCUUACUGGACUGUAACUGACGUUGAGGCUCGAAAGCGUGGGGAGCAAACAGGAUUAGAUACCCGGGUAGUC
rnacentral:rRNA from 1 species